rnacentral:tRNA from 1 species
GAAAAGUUAGUUAAUUUAUAACGUAAAAUUGUCAAUUUUAAAUCACUAAUUUAUUAGUACUUUUCU